UACAGAGGGUGCAAGCGUUGUUCGGAAUUACUGGGCGUAAAGUGUGCGCAGGCGGCCGAGCAAGUCGAGUGUGAAAGCCCCGGGCUUAACUUGGGAAUUGCGCUCGAAACUACUUGGCUGGAGUGUGGCAGAGGAAGGUGGAAUUCCAGGUGUAGCGGUGAAAUGCGUAGAGAUCUGGAGGAACACCGAUGGCGAAGGCAGCCUUCUGGGCCAACACUGACGCUCAUGCACGAAAGCGUGGGGAGCAAACAGG
rnacentral:rRNA from 1 species